AGUAUAUCAUUGGGAGCACGUUUGAAUGCAUUCUUCUUUUGCGAAAAGUACUUUAAAAUUCGACCUUUCGCUAUUUAAAUAGUAAUCGCGCAUACUCAGAGCAUAACAACUUCGAUUCUUCCAUGGCCUUUCAAUCAAUUAGGAGCUUCUUGCUCUUCUUCAUCAUCAUGUUCUUCCUUCUUUUUUGUUUUUCUUUUCAUCCAUCCAAGUUUUCAGCCCCAUCCUUUGGACCAAAUUUUGUCAGUAUUUUUUAUAUCAGCAAAACAGGGCUUUCAGUUCGCUAUAAACAGAAUACAAUGAAUGAGAGGAAAUACACUUUAAUCUAAUUGUAGCAUUUGCCCGUAUGUUAUGCUAUAUUGGUCCGAGAAAGCAAUGGAAUCAGCUUGUCUGAGUAUAUAUUGGAUUCGAAAUCAAGCCUUGCUGAUGGCUCGAUCUUCUGCAAGCUGGAAGACUCGGAUGGAAUACAAAGAAUACUUUAGCACUUCAGAAUUAUGAUUGGGAUCCAUGAUAUUAAUGGUAGUUUGGGAACUGGGAUGCUAUAUUUUGGUUAGUAGUUAAUGGCCCUUACAAUUAUGGGAUCUACUAGUGGGCUCUUCUAGUCAUUUCUAGCAAUUCUGUGGCUGUUAAGAUCCUUUAUCCAAUAUUUUGGGGCUUGAUGACCCUUAGUUGCAGGAAUUGGAAGCUUAGUGCAUGCACAUCAGUCAUCAAGUUCAUAAGGUUUUAGAGAAUAAGCCCAUGGUAUUAACAAAGCUUUUGACCCAAAGCUAGUUCAGUAUGUUAUGUUAAAGCCCCAUUGCCUGUCUAAGUGGUUUCUGAAGUACUCGGUAGGCAUAGGUCUGGCUUUGGGAACCAAAAAAGGUAAUGCGAGAAUGACCUUGUUUUACGGCGUUGCUCCAUCAGAGAUACGACAUCGAAAAGGGAGUUUUGGAGAAACAUUUACUAAACUUGGAUGUAAGAUCAAGGAUGAUGUAAAGGUUACAGAGUGGAAGGCAUCUUUACAUAAAAGCAGCCAAUUUUUUCGGAUUCACGUAAGGAGACAGGUACUUUUAAUGAUCAGCUAUGCUUUUAUAUUUGUUUACACGUGAUGUUAAAGAGAAGUUUAUGGGGAAAAUUUAGACAAAUCCAGGAUCUAAGAGUUUGCAAAUUGAUAAAGACAUGAUGCCUUGCCAAACUAUUUGAUAUUUAUAAGUCUUUUCGGCAUUGAGUUUUGAGCAUACCAUAUUUAAAUUAGAAAUAUUUUCUGAUUGAGGGAUUUAAUAUCGUACUGCCACAUUCAUUUCACGUGAAGUUUAUAGAAGAAACAGAACAGAAGAACAUGAAAAUAUACAAAUCAAAAUCUUCUCACUGUUUUUUUUAUCUUUCAUUCUUGGGUUCUAUAAAGAAUAAACAAAGGUUUUAAGCAUCAAUUUUUUUAGAGAUAUAUAGACUGAAAAAUACUCAUAGUUAUAUGUUUCAGAAUUAAGGGAGGGACAAAUUCAGGAAUGGAAAAAAAAUAGUUAAAAUGUUUAAUGAUUCAUAUAAAGAAUGAAAAAUGUAAGUAUGAGAAGAGCAUGAGGAAGAAGAAAGGCUACCUUUGACAUGGUAAUCUACUACUGUCAUUUUGUAAUGGAUAAACAAAAAAACAAAAAAAAACAAAAAACGAUAUUUAACAUGAAAUCAUCUUUAUGUGUGUAUUACAGUUAAAAGUCUUAACUAUUUAAAUUUCUCGUCUUUUAUAUUGAUAGGAGUGAAUCGGAGUUUAUUCAGGACAUCAUUAAAUAGGUGGACUCAAUAAUGGUGAAUCGUACAUUUCUUAAUGUUGCAAAGUAUCCAGUAGGAGUAGGGUCUCGUGUACGAGACAGUUAUCAACAUUUAAGUAUGAGAAGGAACGAUAUUAUAUGCAUGGUAGGGAUAUUUGGAACCGUUGGAAUUGGCAAGACAACUGUUGCAAAAGAGAUCUAUAACAGGAUUUCUUAUCAAUUUGAAGAAAGUUGUUUCUUGAAAAACAAUAUUAGAGAAACUUCAAAAGUAGGAGGUCUGAUCCAGCUGCAAAAAACACUUCUUUAUGAGUUUUGGGAAUAAGUUUGGAUUUUCAUGAUAUUGACAGACGCAUCAAUGUGAUUAGGCAUAGACUUUGCUCUAAAAGGGUUCUCCUAAUUCUUGAUUAUGUGGAGAAUUGGUCGAACUAGAAACAUUACCUGGAGCUCUUGAUUGGUUUGGUUCAGGAACUAGAAUCAUCAUAACAACAAGAGAUCAACAUUUAUUAAAUAUCUUUAAAGUUGAUUCAAAAUACAAGUUGAAGAUUUUGGCUAACAAUGAAGCUCUUAAGCACUUUAGCUUGCAUGCUUUUGAGAAAGAUGAACCACUUGACGAAUAUCACGUGAUUAGACAUAGACUUAGCUCUAAAAGGGUUCUCCAAAUUCUUGAUGAUGUUGAUGAAUUGGUCGAACUAGAAACAUUACCUGGAGCUCUUGAUUGGUUUGGUUCAGGAACUAGAAUUAUCAUAACAACAAGAGAUCAACAUUUAUUAAAUAUCUCUAAAGUUGAUUCAAAAUACAAGUUGAAGAUUUUGGCUAACGAUGAAGCUCUUAAGCACUUUAGCUUGCAUGCUUUUGAGAAAGAUGAACCACUUGACCAAUAUCUUGUUGAACUCUCUAAACAAGUAAUGCAAUAUGCUCAAGGUCUUCCACUUGCUUUAACAGUGCUAGGUUCAACUCUAAAAGAUCAAAGCAUUCAUCAAUGGAAAAGUGUAUUGAAUAAAUAUAAACAAAUACCCAACAUAAAUAUUCAGAGUGUACUUUGAGCAAGUUAUGAUGGAUUGGAAGAUAAUGAGAAGGACAUGUUUCUUGAUAUUGCAUGUUUCUUCAAAUGAGAAACUUUGGAUGAUGACAUUAAAAUAUUAGACAAUUGUGGUUUCUCUCCUGAUUAUGGUAUUCAAAGGCCUAUAGACAAGUGUCUUAUCCUUGCUGAUGAGUGUAAUAAAUAUUUUUGGAUGCAUGACUUGCUACAAAAUAUGAGUCGAGAAAUUGCUACAAUGUAUUCUCUCCCGUACUAGGGUACCAACAAAAUCUAAGGCAUUAUAGUAGAAAUGCCCUUCAUCCUUUUCCCAAUGUUUGGGAUCCUUUGCGGGUACCGUUUUAUAGAAGUUGCGGAGCCAAUGUUGUAUACAAGCACUAAAGCAGAGAACAUAAAAGAAGAAAAAUGGAUUGAAUUAUUUUGGGAUUUUCAGUACUCUUAGAAUCCAAUCCGUAGCCUUAUACGAAAGGAAAGAGGGAUUCUUAAACUUGGGGCAUCAACUUCCAGAUCUGGUGCAGAAGGACUAUGAUGAUCCAAAGGACAAACGUUGAGUGCAUUUGAUUGAAAGAGACUUGACCGAGCUCGACGGAAUUGUUGGUGAGCUACUACAGCCAGGGGGCUAUCUGAAACUGUUUGAGUUGCGUCUUGCUCUUGUCUUGCAAUAACUCUUCGGUCUAAUUGGUAACUAAUUACAUUUUCCAAAUCACUUUAUUCUUUUUUGUCUUUGCCUUUAUUCCUCCCCCCCCCGGCCGCUUAAAAGCAGCUCUCUCCAUUUUUAGACCUUAAUUUGUUUUUUUCUGUGUUGUCUCUUUAGAUCUAAUUGGUCAACCUCACCUUAUCAUCAUUCGGCUACCAACUCUUUAGAUAAUACCAAAAUCAACUCAUCCUCACCUUAUUGUCAUUCAACUACCAACUCUCCGACUCAUGAGCCCGCUUCUUCAAAUGUCCCUUCUCCUCAUAAUUUGGUCUCAUCCUCAGGUUCAACUGCCUCCAUCACUCCUCUAUGUCACUCUCUAGAAAAUUCAAAAUUCAAUUCACCUACAUCUCAUCCUAUCUCUCCACGUAUUGCUCCCACUUCAAGUACUCAAUGCCCCUUAUCAUCUCCAGAUCUCUCUAUCUCUUCCUCAUCCACUACCAAGUCCUCUACUCCUAUUCGGUCACUACCCCCUCCUAGUCUUGACGUGGUGCUCUCACCCACUCCUCGAGCUCAUCCAAUGACCACACGCUCACAAGUUGGCACCGUUAAACUGAAACAAUUUUUUGAUGGGACUAUCAAGUACCCUCUUCCUAAGGCCCUGUUUACGGAGAAAUAGGAGGUUCCGAAUAAACCUACAUGCUAUACUAAGGUUGUAAAAUACAAAGAGUGGUGCCAUGCCAUGGAUCAAGAGUUCUUAGCACUCAUGAAAAAUGGCACUUGUACUCUUACUCCUCGACGUCCAGGUAUGAAUGUUGUGGGAAACAAGUGGGUGUUCCAGUCCAAACUCAACUCCGAUGGGAAUCUCAAUCAAUGUAAAGCUUGUCUUGUUGUUAAGGGCUAUAAUCAACAACCAGGUAUUGACUAUGCUGAUACCUUCAGUUAUGUAGUCAAACCUGCCACCAUUAGGGUAGUUCUCUCCCAUGCUGUCUCUCAUGGUUGGCCUCUUCGUCCAUGGCCUCUUACUACAUGGCCUCUUACUAAUUGAUGUGAACAAUGCCUUCCUACAUGGCCUCUUAUUAUUAUUGAAGAGGUGAUUUCAUACAAACAAAUGUCCCUUUAAUUCUUCAGAAGGGGCCUUGUCUAGGGCAAGAUUUAGCUAACUACAAUUAACAGCUCUGAAACUUUGAUUACUAUAAGCUUUGUGACUGUGUCAUGGGGUACCAAAUGGAUGAAGAACUAUCAGAAUUAUGGAACAAGUUCUCUCUUACAAAGGAGGAAAGGUAUGAGACAGUAAUAAAAGGCCAGGACAUAAAAGAUACUAUGGAUAGAGGAAACUUUGUGUAGUGGGGAAGAUUAUUGCUGAUAAAAAGAUUAAUAAAGAUGCCUUUAAGAACACAAUGCUCAAGGUGUGAAAAUCCUGUGCUAGAACAAAAAUAAUUGAAGUGGGAGAGAAUCUUUAUGUAUUUGAAUUUCAAUUUGAGGCAGACUUUGGUUGUUUGACAUGGAUCCGGUAUGCCUAAAAACAUUUGAUGGUUUUACUCCACCAACUGAAUUAUCAUUUACACAUAACUUUGUGUGUUCAGUUGCACAAUUUACCUCUAGGAUGUAUGAAUAAAGAAGUUGGAACCAAAAUUGGAUCUACUAUAGGUAAAGUUCUUGCGGUGGGGGUUGACUAUAAGUUCUUAUUGAGGUAGAUUUGAUGAAACCAUUGGCAAGAGGGAAAGUCAUGGAUUUAUUAGGCCAUAGAUGUUUUGUACAUUUCAAGUAUGAAAGACUUCCUAGAUUUUGUUUUACAUGUGCGGUCUUCAAGCAUGGUGUGCAAGGAUGUGCUGGAAAGACUAAGAAACAAGAAACAAGCAAAGAGUCUAGUAUUCAAUAGUAUGGAUCAUGGCUGAGGAUUGCGAGUUCAGCUACAAGUUCCAGUUAUGGUAGCAAUUCAGGUCAACUAAUUGCAAGCCUACCUAAGGAUGGAAAGUCUGAAAAGUAGAAAAAACUUUAUAACAAUCUCAAUCAAAUUGUCGACUAGUAAAAGGAAGGGAGCAGCUGAUGCAAAAUUUGACAAAAGAAGACACAAAGGAAAGCAUUGUAAGAAAUCUGGAUAUCAAUGGCUUACCUAUGCUUAUUCUACAAGCAGAUCCCAAGGAGAAGGUAAUGGACAAUUCAAAGGACUUAUUGGUCAGGUCAGAUAUGCACUCUACUUCAUCCAUGGUGAUUAAAAGUAAGAUUGACAAGCCUGAUAUCAUGCAGGAUUAGAAUAACAAUUGUGCACAACAAGAAAUUCCUGAGUCAUGUGUCAAUAAAUGGAAGAGAAGGGAAAGGGGACAACAUAGCAAUGAACUGAUGCAGCCUACACAGCAAUGAAUUGAUGCAGCCUUCUCAUUGUGCUACAAGGAAGAGGAAGCUAACUGAAGAAGAUAACAUUCUCUUUGCUUUGCAAAAUAAUCAACAUGCUAGGGGCAAGAAAUAGGUCAUGAAAUUUGAAUUAGAUAUAUUGGUGGAGGUUGUUAAUCAACCUCACUGGGAGAAAUGAGGCUUUUAAGCAAGAACUACCGAAGGCUUGGCAACCCUUGGACAGCUAGAGACCUUAUUCUUCUGGUUAAGGUCCAUAAGCCUAGCAUUUUGUUUCUCCUGGAAACUAAAAUGCAUGAGAAGUAGUUAGAAGUUCUAAAACUAAGGUUGGAUUUUAAUAAUUUAUUUUCAUUUGAAGGUGUUGGAAAAAGUGAAGGGAUGGCUUUGUUAUGGGUAGAGAAUGUCCAGCUCAUGUCCAGCACCUACUCACAUAGACAUAUCAAUACCUGGGUUGAUUAAACCGAUUCAUUGUGGAUGCUAACAUACACUUUAGGCCUUUUCUCUCCUUUAGUUGCAGGUCACAAAGUGAGCAGGUGUAUGAAACACGUCCUUAACAAUUGGCAGGAGAAUUGUGAGUUCACGAAGAUCGAUCCCUUACGAAGCAAUUGGGUGAGAAGAUUUUUGGGAUGCCAUAAUGAGAGCAAUGGACAGCGAGAUGAAGGUAAUAGGAGGUAGAGAAUGCAACGAGAAAAAGGCAACCUAGAGAAGAAGAAAAAUAAUCAACAGAGUUAGAGUGGAAGGGAGCACUCAUUAAAGAAGGACUAUACAACAUGAUAGGGCACAACUCAAAGGGAGAAACGUGUUGAAAAUGAAAAGGAGGGAGUUGAAGAGGUGUGAAAGUGGAACAACAUCUUUGACACAAGGAAUCUGAAGGGGCAAAAGCCCAAAUCAUGAAGCAGCACCGUAAGUACAAGUCCCAUCACGCUACGUGUGAUGAGACUUCACAAGAUAACUGGAAGGCCUUAAAUUUUCCUACCAAGCCCGAUAGGCCUGUCAAGCAACCGAAAUGCCAAGCCCAAACUACUGAGCAUUGGACAAACUCCUUGUGAAGGUUACAAACCAUGAUAAUAACCUCUGUCGUACAUGGGACAAAGGACCCAACAAACUCUUAAUGGCUAAGGGAUCCGAACCACUUCUCAAAGAUAAGAUGAAUUGCAGAUGACGAGGGAAACUCAAAUAUUAAACCCCAACUUGAUUUCAAAGGAAAGAUCAGAUGGUUAUAAGAUUCAAAAGGGGAUCCUUCUAUUUUAUUAAUAUCCAACAAUGGUCAUUUCGAAAAACUUUGCUCCUCUAUUCUAUAAGAGAUAUCACCCAACUCGUCUUACUCAUCAAAGGCAUUUCUUUACACUCUAGGCCUUUUCUCUCAGUUGAUUGCAGUUCAUAGAGUGAGCAAGUGUGUGAAACAUGCCCUUAACAUUGGUCUUGUAGAUGGUAACAUAGUUCUUAACGUCCAUAAAGACGAAGUGCAUGCGGAUUCAUAUAGACUUUGUUUACAUAUAUGCCAUGUGAGGUUGGGAGAAAAUCAAGAUUUACGCAGCUACAUUAGCCCUUCAAUUAUGACAAACAGCCCAAGAAAUUUUAAUCCAGAGAAACUUUAGUGCGCUUACCUCGGUUGGGGUCCUAUAUUUGUACAAGAAGCUUAGGAAACCACGUCAGUCCUGUGGCCAAAGUGACUUUCUGGUAAGAAAUUACAAAGUAUUUGUUUUGAUUCAAAUAUAUCCACAUCUUUCUCUAUAUCUUUCUCCAACUAAUGCAUUCGAUAUUUCAAACUAUUUUCUCAAGAAUUUGAUGGAUGCUCUGUACAUAAUUUAUGCUGCCCUCCAAGAGUGAUUGGGUUAGCCCAUUACAAUAAUUGGGUGGGACUUAAUGUUCUAUGUGCUUGUUUUCUUGUGAUUGAGCAUUCGGCUAUUAUUGGUGACAAUCUGGAUUCCCAACUUCCGAACUACCACUAGAGGACCAAUAGAUCUCCAUAAAGACUGGGCUUGGCCCACAAUCAUGAAGGUCCACCAACUGGAAGGCAGAGGCCCACGAAACAAUAACUAAAGGCCAACAUCCACUAUUAUUUUGUCAUGGAGUAAUACUAUACACCACACUACUAUUCCACUUUUAUCCCACUAUGUAAGAUGUGACAUAUUUAUCACCAUUGAUCAUCCAUUGGAUGAUUAUCUAAUGGUAAUAAAUGUGCACAUCUUGUAUAUUGGGAUGAAAGUGAGAUGGCAGUACGGUGUAUAGAAUUUUCAUUUCCCAUGCCUUUACUUAUAUUCCGUGUGUUUAUAUUUUGAUUGGUUGUUGUGGGAUGAACUUGUGGAUGUUCUAAUAUACCUUCUUCAUGAUUCCCCAUGUUGGAAAAUAAUGUUGGAAUUAUAAUUCAUACUAAUACCAAUCAAUCCAGAAAAAAGGCUUCGGAUCAAUAAUACUCGUAACCUCUUAAUUUUUUGAAUACUUUUGUACAAGUAUGUUUGUGGUUCAAAUUUGUCCAGUAUCAAUGGGGAUGCUUCAUCUCUAAAGACUUUUAGUACGAAUGAGUUCAUCCCCAGGAAACUUACUUGUGGGGGUUGGGAUAUAUGAUUUGUGGAAUAACCAUAUACCACCAAUACCAAUGGCAAAGAUUUUGUUAAAUCAAUAAGGAUGUCAUGGAGGUAGUAUUGGAUUUCUUUUCUUGGGUUGCUCUUCCCAUGAAUUUUUCGGCCUCAUACUUGGUGUUAAUCCCGAAGGUGGAGGCACCUAAAAGUUAUGAUAAGUUUCGACCGAUCAAUCUGUGCUCUGUUUUCUAUAAAGUUUGCUCUAAAAUUCUGGUUAGUCACUUUUCUCCUCUUCUCCUAGGCAUUAUUUCCCCAGAACAAUGUGAUUUUAUCCCAAGAAGAAGCAUUUUUUAUAAUAUCACUCUCACUCAAGAACUUGUGCCUAUUCUUCACAAGUCGGUUCGGGGUGGGAAUAUAAUUCUCAAGCUCGAUA